CGGCGAGUGAAGAGGGAAGAGCCCAAGAUUGAAAGCUGGCGUCUUCGGCGUCCGCAUUGUAAUCUCAAGAAGUGUUUUCCGCUUCGGACCAUGCCUAAGUCCCUUGGAAAAGGGCAUCAUAGAGGGUGAUAAUCCCGUACAUGGCAUGGAGCGCCCGAAGCUUUGUGAUACGCUUUCUAAGAGUCGAGUUGUUUGGGAAUGCAGCUCAAAAUGGGUGGUAAAUGCCAUCUAAGGCUAAAUAUUGGGGAGAGACCGAUAGCGAACAAGUACAGUGAUGGAAAGAUGAAAAGAACUUUGAAAAGAGAGUUAAACAGUACGUGAAAUUGCCAAAAGGGAAGGGUAGGAGGUCAGAGAUGCGGCCUGGGAUUCAGCCUUGCUUUUGCUUGGUGUUUUUCCCAGAUUGCAGGCCAACGUCGGUUUUGGGCACUGGAGAAGGGUAGGAGGAACGUGGCACCUCUCGGGGUGUGUUAUAGCCUCCUACUGGAUACAGCGACCGAGACCGAGGACAGCAGCGUACUCGCAAGAGCGGGCCUUCGGGCACCUUUACGCUUAGGGCGUUGGCAUAAUGGCCCUCUACCA
rnacentral:rRNA from 1 species